rnacentral:rRNA from 1 species
UACGGGGGGAGCAAGCGUUGUUCGGAUUUACUGGGCGUAAAGGGCGCGUAGGCGGCGCAACAAGUCACUUGUGAAAUCUCCGGGCUUAACCCGGAGCGGCCAAGUGAUACUGUCGUGCUAGAGUGCGGAAGGGGCUACUGGAAUUCUCGGUGUAGCGGUGAAAUGCGUAGAUAUCGAGAGGAACACCUGCGGCGAAGGCGGGUAGCUGGGCCGACACGUGACGCUGAGGCGCGAAAGCCAGGGGAGCGAACGGG